rnacentral:rRNA from 1 species
GAUCCUGGCUCAGGAUGAACGCUGGCGGCGUGCCUAACACAUGCAAGUCGAACGAAGCACCUUUUGAGAUUCUUCGGAUGAUCGAUCGGUGACUGAGUGGCGGACGGGUGAGUAACGCGUGGGUAACCUGCCUCAUACAGGGGGAUAACAGCUGGAAACGACUGCUAAUACCGCAUAAGCGCACAGGAUUGCAUGAUCCAGUGUGAAAAACUCCGGU